rnacentral:rRNA from 1 species
GACGAACGCUGGCGGCGUGCUUAACACAUGCAAGUCGAACGGAAAGGCCCUGCUUUUGUGGGGUGCUCGAGUGGCGAACGGGUGAGUAACACGUGAGUAACCUGCCCUUGACUUUGGGAUAACUUCAGGAAACUGGGGCUAAUACCGGAUAGGAGCUCCUGCUGCAUGGUGGGGGUUGGAACGUUUCGGCGGUUGGGGAUGGACUCGCGGCUUAUCAGCUUGUUGGUGGGGUAGUGGCUUACCAAGGCUUUGACGGGUAGCCGGCCUGAGAGGGUGACCGGCCACAUUGGGACUGAGAGACGGCCCAGACUCCUACGGGAGGCAGCAGUGGGGAAUAUGGCACAAUGGGCGGAAGCCUGAUGCAGCAACGCCGCGUGCGGGAUGACGGCCGUCGGGUUGUAAACCGCUUUCGCCUGUGACGAAGCGUGAGUGACGGUAAUGGGUAAAGAAGCACCGGCUAACUACGUG